rnacentral:rRNA from 1 species
GGGGAAUUUUCCGCAAUGGGCGAAAGCCUGACGGAGCAAUACCGCGUGAGGGAGGAAGGCUCUUGGGUUGUAAACCUCUUUUCUCAGGGNAAUAAGAACUGAAGGUACCUGAGGAAUCAGCAUCGGCUAACUCCGUGCCAGCAGCCGCGGUAAUACGGAGGAUGCAAGCGUUAUCCGGAAUGAUUGGGCGUAAAGCGUCCGCAGGUGGUUUAUCAAGUCUGCUGUCAAAGAGUUUGGCUCAACCAAAUAAAGGCAGUGGAAACUGACAGACUGGAGUGCGGUAAGGGCAGAGGGAAUUCCUGGUGUAGCGGUGAAAUGCGUAGAGAUCAGGAAGAGCACCGGUGGCGAAAGCGCUCUGCUGGGCCGUAACUGACACUGAGGGACGAAAGCUAGGGGAGCGAAUGGGAUUAGAUACCCCAGNUAGUC